rnacentral:tRNA from 1 species
GGGCCGGUAGAUCAACGGUACAACCCUUUUCCGCUUCGCGCAAAAGCGUUGACGGAAAAACGCGUUAAAGAUCGCGACGUUCGCAUCGUCGAGGCUUCGGGUUCGAAUCCCGACCGGUCCA